UUUGAUCCUGACUCAGGACGAACGCUGGCGGCGUGCCUAAUACAUGCAAGUAGAACGCUGAAGAGAGGAGCUUGCUCUUCUUGGAUGAGUUGCGAACGGGUGAGUAACGCGUAGGUAACCUGCCUUGUAGCGGGGGAUAACUAUUGGAAACGAUAGCUAAUACCGCAUAACAAUGGAUGACACAUGUCAUUUAUUUGAAAGGGGCAAUUGCUCCACUACAAGAUGGACCUGCGUUGUAUUAGCUAGUAGGUGAGGUAACGGCUCACCUAGGCGACGAUACAUAGCCGACCUGAGUGGGUGAUCGGCCACACUGGAACUGAGACACGGCCCAGACACCUACGGGAGGCAGCAGUAGGGAAUCUUCGGCAAUGGGGGCAACCCUGACCGAGCAACGCCGCGUGAGUGAAGAAGGUUUUCGGAUCGUAAAGCUCUGUUGUAAGUCAAGAACGAGUGUGAGAGUGGAAAGUUCACACUGUGACGGUAGCUUACCAGAAAGGGACGGCUAACUACGUGCCAGCAGCCGCGGUAAUACGUAGGUCCCGAGCGUUGUCCGGAUUUAUUGGGCGUAAAGCGAGCGCAGGCGGUUUGAUAAGUCUGAAGUUAAAGGCUGUGGCUCAACCAUAGUUCGCUUUGGAAACUGUCAAACUUGAGUGCAGAAGGGGAGAGUGGAAUUCCAUGUGUAGCGGUGAAAUGCGUAGAUAUAUGGAGGACACCGGUGGCGAAAGCGGCUCUCUGGUCUGUAACUGACGCUGAGGCUCGAAAGCGUGGGGAGCGAACAGGAUUA
rnacentral:rRNA from 1 species